GCCGGGGUGGCGGAAUGGUAGACGCAGCGGGCUUAAAACCCGCCGCCCGAAAGGGCGUGAGGGUUCGAAUCCCUCCCUCGGCA
rnacentral:tRNA from 1 species